rnacentral:lncRNA from 1 species
UUCAUUUUUGUAAUAAUAAAGAAUUUAUUAAAGAAUUUUUCAAUCCAAAUCGUAGAUUCAUAUGUGUGGUCAUCUAAAAAGUAUGGAGAAAAGUACAACAUUAUUGAAAGGGAAGAAGAGUUAAAAGGUUCGGGAGAAAUGAGAAAAGGAAUUUGGUUUGCUGCAGCUAAUAUGGAGAAGUGAAAGGGAAAAUAUGUAUCAUGUUUUCAGUCUUUGAAUGAGAUUUAAAUGAGGUGGUAUGUGAAGAAUAAAAGUCAAGCAGGUCCUGAUAGAGAAAAUCUAAACAGAGGAUUCAGAUCCCAAAUCUACACUCAGGCCAAAUUAAAAGGAUUAAAUUUCUCAUUAAAAAAAGGAAAUAAAAUUAAAAUGAACACUAUUAUAGGUAUUCAAAAUAAAAAGAAAAAAC